rnacentral:rRNA from 1 species
AUUGAACGCUGGCGGCAGGCCUAACACAUGCAAGUCGAGCGGAUGAAGGGAGCUUGCUCCUGGAUUCAGCGGCGGACGGGUGAGUAAUGCCUAGGAAUCUGCCUGGUAGUGGGGGAUAACGUCCGGAAACGGGCGCUAAUACCGCAUACGUCCUGAGGGAGAAAGUGGGGGAUCUUUGGACCUCACGCUAUCAGAUGAGCCUAGGUCGGAUUAGCUAGUUGGUGGGGUAAAGGCUUACCAAGGCGACGAUCCGUAACUGGCCUGAGAGGAUGAUCAGUCACACUGGAACUGAGACACGGUCCAGACUCCUACGGGAGGCAGCAGUAGGGAAUCUUCGACAAUGGGCGAAAGCCUGAUCCAGCCAUGCCGCGUGUGUGAAGAAGGUCUUCGGAUUGUAAAGCUCUUUAAGUUGGGAGGAAGGGCAGUAAGUUAAUCCCUUGCUGUUUUGACGUUACCAACAGAGUAAGCACCGGCUAACUUCGUG